rnacentral:lncRNA from 1 species
AUGGCAUUCUUCUUGCCUGUUAUAUUUAUAACAUUUUGGAGUCCACUUUCAAGAAAAAAAAAAAUGUUUAUUAACAAGGCAUCUGUCAGGUCCCAGGGAGGCUGCUUUACAAUAAAUUCCUUCGAGCUGCAAAAUGUGACCAACAUGUGUUCCUGCAGGCAUUUCUGGCUCUUUGACUGUGAAUCACUCUCCGCUCCAUCUGCAUUUGGCCAGGCAACACCUGAAGACUAUCUCGUUCAUCAUCUCAGAGAAGUGAUGGAUUUGGAGACUAUAGAAAUGACAGAAAGAGAGACUAUUUCCCAUUCUUCCCAGUUUCUGAAGCUCACGUGAAGCCAUCUGAGCUCUGCUCCACUGAACCCAGAUUCUCGUCUUGUAAUCAGUGUAAAAUCGAUACGUCAUUCUUUUGUGCUUUGAAUCACUUGAUCAAUAAAGUGAAAACUGUUUAAGUAUUUUAAUUAAUACCACCCCCCCCCCCCCCGUCCCAGAAGGGAACUUGUUAGUCUGCAUGUUUCAAAAAUUACAUUACAACGCCACUAUUGUCUUAACAAAAUGUACCAUCAAGAUGCCCUUCCUCCAGUGUCUCUUUGCUUGGUUUUCCUCCUAAAAUGUUCUCACUUUCCCAGACAACAGCAGGGAGGAUUUUUAAAGAAAUGCUUUCCCACUCGAGGUCACUAAAACAGUUCAGCAUCCUUCUGGGUUCUGCUCUGCUUGUCCAAGCCCUGAGCUUCACAUGGCA